UUUUUUUUUUUUUAGAUGCUGCAUCAAGAAGUUAAGAUGGUCUGUCUACUUGGAAUACUGUCUGAUGAAUAUUGAAAGAUGGUUUUAAGAACUGGAUGACAGAUGCCUGAUGUGGAAGUAAGGGUGAUGCAAAGAUGUGCAGUUGAAUUCCUCCAUGUGGAAAAAAAACCAACAUUGACAUUAAUCAACAGUUGCUGAGCAUUUUUGGAGACUAAACAGUGGAUGUGAGUGCAGUGAGUCAGUAGGUGGUGCAUUUUAACAUUGGUGACAGCAAAUGAAAGACAGCUAUGUUUUGUGUGGCCUGCACAGCUGUCUCACCACGAAAUGAAGAGUGUCUUAAUCAGCUCACCCUCAUGAAAUGGCACACUGUGACAAGGGAGCUGUGUAUAGAGCUGAAUAUCGGCUGUAAAGCAUAGGAAACAGUGGUGGCAACAUUGAAAUAUCACAGAGUUUGCACCGGGCGGGUCCCAUGAGUGUUCACAUAGGAAUAGGUAUAAUACCAUACUCAAGUUUGUCAGGACCUAUUGAACUAAUACAAGGCUGAAGGUCACAGUUUCCUGGAUUGCAUCAUUACUACUGAUGAGACAUGGUGUCACCGUUAUGAGCCAAAGAGAAUACAGCAGUCCAUGGAGUGGUGACAUAUGAAUUCCCCACUGAAGAAAAGUUCAAGACACAGCCCUCAGCAGGUAAAAUGAUGUGUGCUGUUUUUUGGGAUAGGAAAGGCGUGAUUCUUCUGGGUUUCCUGGAACCUGGGCAAACAUUAAUGCUGACUAAGAUAAAGGCUCUAACUUCCAGAAGCAGGCCAGAGAAGACACCUUUUCUCUUGCAACACAACAACACCAGGCCUGUAUCAGAUUUGAAGUGCACUGCACUGUAGCAGAAAUGCUAAGUCACAGGCUGAAACAGUGAUUGAGCACCUGGUAGGAAGGCAGGGCCAACCCAGGGAGCUCAGGUGCAAGCAUUGCACUGAGUGACUAGAACAGUUGGAUCUACCCCUUCCCAGACCUCGUGUAAGAGCUGGCAGUGGAAGUGAAGAUGUCUUGCUGAAAAUACCUGCCUUCCUGAGGCCUUCUGAAGUAAAGAAUGACCAGGCAAUACUCUUUGAAAAUUGGAGACCAUUUGCAGCUGCUCUCUGCUGAGGAAAGUGAAUAAUAGGGUGCCCUCAAGGAAUUUCAAAGCACCACCACUUGAGUGGAAGCAGGAGCACUGGAGAAGCCAGAGCCAAGCAUGAGUCUACACUUUGCGAACUGUGAAUCUCUGAAAGACGGUUCACAAGACAUAUUCCUGAGAGGACAGCAAUCACCUGAUGUGGUUUAUAAAGAAGAGAUGACAAAACUUGCUGAGAGAUCCACCACUCCUUUGUGUGAUGAUGUUGGGUUGAGCAUGAAGGAAAGUUCAGAAUCCGGAGACCUUAGGCUUCAGAUUAAACCAAGGCACAUUCUACCAACGUAAGGCACUAUGCAAAACUCAAUGAAGAUUAAUUGAUUUGGAGGAGGAGAAGGCAAAAGAGAGAUGAUUGAAAGGCACUCAGCAAAAGAACUUUCCAUUUUCUAGUUAAGGAAAUAGCAGUAUUCUGGAGUAUCCUAUGUCUUUACAGAUUACAUCAUCUGGAUAUGUCCUAGAGACGGGCUUGUGGUAUAGAUGCUAUAGAAUUCUGCCCUUCCUUCAGACCUAUGGAUGUAAAAAUAGAUGCAAUAUACAAUCGUGCAUUUCUGCAGCACAAGCUGAGGAGACAAAAUCCCUUUUUGGCUGAUAUAGCAUCUCAACACUAGCCUGGUUAGUGCUUAUGUGAAUUCCUGAUACUUUGCACUAGUCUUCAGUGUGCAUUUGGUUAUCUGCUAAUAUUUUCCCUUGCACAAGAACGCUGAUCAUCUUUCUAAUGGGGAGCAUAACAAUUUGAAGCAUAUUCAUAUUUGUGCUAAAGGACCAUAGUCUCAAAGUAUAAUCCAAAAGAUUGUUACAUGAUAGAUUAUGUCUGACAGGAUUUAGGAAAAUGUCACAUAUCAGACACACAGGCCAACAGUAUAUAACAGGACUGCUGCCUCUGGCAGCUUAAUUCCAGCAGAUUUCUAAUCAUGUGUAUUUCAAGAUGAUAAGAGGCAUGCGAGAAAUCUUUUACAGCUUUUGAGGCGUACUCCAGACCAAAAUGAAGGGCAUGCUUGGUUGUACACAAUAGCUGAGGAACUUUUUGUACUAGCAGAAUUAAAUUUCACCCUUUUAUUUUUCAGAUACCACGCAAACUGAAUUGUUUCGGUUUGGUUUUCAGAGUUUUAACAAAUUAGGUCUCACUAUUUCCUUCUCCUUUUUUCCCUCUGUCUGCUAACAGUUUUACGACCAUACUUUUGCAACCAGCACGUUUAUGCUUCAAAUAUUUAUUCUUCUUUUCUUCAUAACCCAUUGGUAGAAUACACAGUUCCUGGGAUCUGUUGGAGAUUAGAUUGUCUCCUUCAAGGUAUUGCUAGGAAAAACAAAUGCUGAGAAAAUCUUCCCCACUUAAAACUGAUGAUUCAUGCUGCUGUUUCUUCUCAUUUUCUUUGUUUUGUCUCAUGAUGCCAAACAUAUACCACACAUCAGAAGGAAGAGGGAGGACAAAAGAAAGAGGAGAAAUCUUGAUCUACACAGAAGGUUGUCUCUUAAACUCAUCUUCUGAAAAGAACAGAAACACUGAACAGCUUCUUUCUCUGACGGUCAUACCAAUGUUUCCAAAACCCUGCCAGAACAGUGCUAACUUAUCCUUAUUUUUUUCUUUCCUUCUCUUACUCUGUUGUUUUCUGUUGUGUUUUUUUUUAAAACACAGCCUUGCAGGUAAGCUCAGAGAUUGCAAAAUUGCUUGUGAGCUCUUAGGGCUUGGCCCAUAAGCAGCCUCUUUGCCCGAACUUGCUAGUGAUUUGAAUUGGUUAACUCACUCAACUCUCAAAGAAAGAUAUAGAUGCUAUUGUAGCGUGAUUAUUUACUGCAAAAUCUUUAUCCUGGAUUCCUUCCAUUUUGUGGCUUUCUGAUUUGCUGUCUAUGGGCCUAGGCCUGUCCUUGUAGAAAACAGAGCCCAAAUUUCCGCUGGGCUCAUUGACAUGCACUGCUUGUGUUAGCAAAAACAAUAUCUGCAAUUUGCUUAGUCUGAGACCCAGAACACAGAUUCCACCAGCUCAAGCUACUGGUCAAACAUGGUCAUUAUCAUGUUUCUGGCAUAACUGCUAGCAGAUGCUUUAGAAACAGCAAAAGCAAACAACAUAAUGUGUCUGGCCAAAAAGGAAGUAAUACCAAAUAGGAAGGAAAAUUAUUUUCUGAUAUUUCUUUUGAUCAAUGUGUGAUUUGAAAGAAACAACAGAUUUGUCUUGUGUUUAAGAAUAGUUGCAUCUGUGCAUUUCAUGGAGGACUUUGAUAUAUUUUUCUGGAAAAUAAAAGUCAUCAGAUAAUCAGAAAGAGAUUUACUUCAGAAACGGAACAUGAGACAUGGUGGCUUCUUUAAAAUUCAGUGCCUGAUGAGAUUCAAUGAGGAAAAAAAAUGCAUUUUCUGAACUAAAAAACAUCAUUGGUUAAAAAAAAAAAAAA